CGAACGGGUGAGUAACACGUGGGCAACCUGCCCAAANAGGGGGAGUAACACUUGGAAACAGGUGCUAAUACCGCAUAACCAUAGUUACCGCAUGGUAGCUAUGUAAAAGGUGGCUAUGCUACCGCUUUUGGAUGGGCCCGCGGCGCAUUAGCUAGUUGGUGGGGUAAAGGCUUACCAAGGCAAUGAUGCGUAGCCGAACUGAGAGGUUGAUCGGCCACAUUGGGACUGAGACACGGCCCAAACUCCUACGGGAGGCAGCAG
rnacentral:rRNA from 1 species